AUUGAACGCUGGCGGCAGGCCUAACACAUGCAAGUCGAGCGGAGCGGCGGACGGGUGCGUAAUGCCUAGGAAUCUGCCUGGUAGCGGGGGAUAACGUCAGGAAACGGGCGCUAAUACCGCUUCCUCUCAGAUGCGCCUAGGUCGGAUUAGCUAGAUGGUGGGGUAAAGGCCUACCAAGGCGACGAUCCCUAACCGGUCUGAGAGGAUGAACAGUCACACUGGAACUGAGACACGGUCCAGACUCCUACGGGAGGCAGCAGUGGGGAAUAUUGGACAAUGGGCGCAAGCCUGAUCCAGCCAUGCCGCGUGUAUGAAGAAGGUCUUCGGGUUGUAAAGCACUUUAAGUUGGGAGGCGUUACCAACAGAAUAAGCACCGGCUAACUUCGUGCCAGCAGCCGCGGUAAUUC
rnacentral:rRNA from 1 species